CCGCCCUCCACCCUCCCCGACUGCAGGCCGAGUCCCGUAGCAUCCGGUAGGGAAAUGGUCGUGCUUUUGGUCCCCGCCGAAGUCACCGUGAUCCUGUUAGAUAUCGAAGGUACCACAACCCCGCUUGCUUUCGUGAAGGACAUUUUAUUUCCUUACAUAGAAGAAAAUGUUAAAGAGGAUCUGCAGAUACAUUGGGAAGAAGAGGAGUGCCAGCAGGCUGUCAGUCUUUUGAGGAAACAGGCUGAAGAGGACGCCCACCUGGAUGGGGCUGUUCCUAUCCCUGCAGCGUCUGGGAAUGGAGUGGAUGAUCUGCAGCAGAUGAUCCAGGCCGUGGUAGAUAAUGUGUGCUGGCAGAUGUCCCUGGAUCGAAAGACUACUGCACUCAAACAGCUGCAGGGCCACAUAUGGAGGGCGGCAUUCACAGCUGGGCGCAGGAAAGCAGAGUUCUUUGCAGAUGUAGUUCCAGCAGUCAGGAAAUGGAGAGAGGCCGGAAUGAAGGUGUACAUCUAUUCCUCAGGGAGUGUGGAGGCACAGAAACUCUUAUUUGGGCACUCUACGGAGGGAGAUAUUCUUGAGCUUGUCGAUGGUCACUUUGAUACCAAGAUUGGACGCAAAGUGGAGAGUGAAAGUUACCGAAAGAUUGCAGACAGCAUUGGAUGCUCAACCAACAACAUUUUGUUUCUGACAGAUGUUACUCGAGAGGCCAGUGCUGCUGAGGAAGCAGAUGUGCACGUAGCUGUGGUGGUGAGACCAGGCAACGCAGGAUUAACAGAUGAUGAGAAGACUUACUACAACCUCAUCAUAUCCUUCAGCGAACUAUACCUGCCUUCCUCAACCUAGAGAAGGGUUGCUAAGGCAGACCGCACUGUUCCCAGAGUUGUCCCUGUAGUGUCUAGGUUUAUUCUAAUGGUAAAAGUAACUUACUUAAAAAACAUACAUGUACACAUAAUAUGCAAGUAUGUAUAUAUGUGUAUGCUCAAAUUAACUUCCACAGGUACAUAAGCGAAAGAAGUCUCAGUUCAGUGAACACAAAACUUAUUUAAAGAUGUUUUAUAUGUAGAAAUUGUUUGAAAUCAUACUCUAACCCUUAGUGAGAGCGAAGUGUAGUUGAUAGAAGAAAUUGCUAAAAACCAAUCUAAUGUGCUAUGUUUAUCAAGUCAUGUACUAAAAUGGAAAGCUAGUUUUGAGAGAUUAUUCAGAAGCCUUGUUAUUUUAAAAAUGAAAUAUUUCAAAGACUUUUUUCUAAUAAUAAUUCAUUGCCCCUGUUUGUGAUUUAGAAGAUUAUAACAGCUGUAUUUCAUAUUUGCAUCCUUAUGUAUAUCAAAGACCAAGGUAUUUCCUUCUGCUCCAAAAGAUGAAAAUUGGGAAAGAAAACUCACUUGAGUCUUGAUCAAACAAGUGUCUUUUAAGAAGAAACUUGGUAAUCAUUGUGGCACCCACAGCAAGCAGUUGCCUUACCAGUGAAAAAGGUGCACUGAUGUAACAGCUAAAAAAGAGCUGUGUUCUUAAUGGAACAGUUCUAAUCCUGCCGGGUGUUAUCAUUAUAUAUUUUGUAGUUACCUUUCUAACUACUUAGCACAGUUUGAGAAUAUGUUAAUUGCUAUUUACUAUUUAAAAAGUUUUACUGAAAUCAGUCCAUAAGAUUAAGAUGAGCCCUAAUACGUAAGAUUUUCUUCUGGAAUGGAUGUGAGAAAUGUAAAUUUUAUAACAGCAGUAUUUAUCCUGGUUUAAUUCUAAUAGGAUGUCUGUUAAUUUCAUGUUGUGAUUAAUAAAAGCAUUUUCUUCUU